rfam:Solenopsis invicta Si_gnG.contig105425, whole genome shotgun sequence.
UAAUCUGCCCUUUUCAGGGCAACCAAAUAUUUUAUUUUGAGGAAUAU